UUAAAGGCGAUGAUAAAGAAAAGUACAUGUUUUUGAAGCUCGCAGAGAGCCUGUGGCCGGUGGAAACAGGCAGUGAAUGAACAUGGAAUGGGCUUUUGAGCUCCUGUCUGAACAUUGUUUAGUAGGAACAGGCGUGUGUGUCCGCACGAUAGAAAGGGCGCCGUAUGACAGUACGGGUUAGAGAUAUUCUUUUUUUAUGGAAUAACAAGGGUGGCACCACGGUCCAUUCGUCCCUUUU
rnacentral:ncRNA from 1 species